rnacentral:misc_RNA from 1 species
GAUGAAGAACGCAGCGAAAUGCGAUAAGUAAUGUGAAUUGCAGAAUUCAGUGAAUCAUCGAAUCUUUGAACGCACAUUGCGGCCAUAGGUAUUCCUUUGGCCAUGCCUGUUCGAGCGUCAUUUACACCCUCAAGCCUAGCUUGGUGUUGGGCGUCUGUCCCGCCGUUCUCGCGCGCGGACUCGCCUCAAAGUCAUUGGCGGCGGUCGUGCCGGCCCCCUCGCGCAGCACAUUUGCGCUUCUCGGAGGCCCGGCGGAUCCGCGCUCCAGCAAGACCUUUCACGACUUGACCUCGGAUCAGGUAGGGAUACCCGCUGAACUUAAGCAUGUCAAUAAGCGGAGGA